CCAGCAUCUUGCUGUGGGUCCACUCACUCUGCCCCUACGGCCGCCGUGAUAGCACCAUGUGCUGUGGCAGGCGGCCAUUUUGGCACCCCGCGUGUUGCUUGCAGCAGGUGGAGGCUGCCUGGAGCUGGCUGCACCUAGCUGCUGCUUCACCAUCUCCACACCCAAAGGUACCACUGCAGCUCCCGGCCACUGAACCCCCACUGUUUGCAUCAAGUACAGGACCAGCAGCAGUGCUACCUCAUCAGACUGCAGCAGACAGCAAACAAGGAAGCGGGCACAUUUGCCAUUUGUAUGAAUAGCUUUGCAAGGCAACCCAACUCCUUUCAAAAAGAGAGGUUUGUGAAGUUUUGAAGCGGUUUCAUAAGACUGAUUCUGCAGAAAAAUAAGAUGAGGAAG
rnacentral:lncRNA from 1 species